rnacentral:rRNA from 1 species
CACGUAGGCGGCCUUGUAAGUCUCACUGUGAAAGUCCGGGGCUCAACCCCGGGAUGCCAGGGGAUACUGCGAGGCUCGAGACAAGUAGAGGUUGGUAGAAUUCCGGGUGUAGCGGUGGAAUGCGUAGAGAUCCGGAGGAAUACCAGAGGCGAAGGCGGCCAACUGGGCUUGUUCUGACGCUGAGGUGCGAAAGCGUGGGGAGCGAACAGGAUUAGAUACCCUGGUAGUCCACGCCGUAAACGAUGGGCACUAGAUGCCGGUGGGAACGACCCCAUCGGUGUCGAAGCUAACGCAUUAAGUGCCCCGCCUGGGGAGUACGGCCGCAAGGCUGAA